rnacentral:rRNA from 1 species
CGUGCAGGUGGUCUUGUAAGUUGGAUGUGAAAGCUCCUGGCUUAACUGGGAGAGGUCGUUCAAAACUGCGAGACUUGAGAGUGGUAGAGGGAGGUGGAAUUCCGGGUGUAGUGGUGAAAUGCGUAGAUAUCCGGAGGAACGCCAGUGGCGAAAGCGGCCUCCUGGACCACUUCUGACACUCAGACGCGAAAGCUAAGGUAGCAAACG